rnacentral:lncRNA from 1 species
CCACACGACCCGGCCAAUAGGAUACAUUUGCAGGUAAAUAACAUCUAAGCACCACGUCCACAUGUGAUCUACCACUUAACUCCCUCGCGUCGAAAGCUAAGCGCUUUGCAAACUUAUACAUAAACUCAUUAUCAAUCAUAACUAUAUCAAAUAUAGAACUAGAGCAAACUAAGAUCAGAAUAAAUAGAGACAUAAUGUAAUUAGAACAAAGUAUUAGAGAAAGAUAUGAAUAAUACCAAUCUUUAUUACCGA